UACGUAGGGUGCGAGCGUUAAUCGGAAUUACUGGGCGUAAAGCGUGCGCAGGCGGUUUUGUAAGCCAGAUGUGAAAUCCCCGGGCUCAACCUGGGAAUGGCAUUUGGGACUGCAAGGCUGGAGUACGGCAGAGGAGACUGGAAUUCCUGGUGUAGCAGUGAAAUGCGUGGAUAUCAGGAGGAAUACCGAUGGCGAAGGCAGGUCUCUGGGCUGAUACUGACGCUCAUGCACGAAAGCGUGGGGAGCAAACAGG
rnacentral:rRNA from 1 species